UACACUCCUACGGGAGGCAGCAGUGGGGAAUAUUGGACAAUGGGCGCAAGCCUGAUCCAGCCAUGCCGCGUGAGUGAUGAAGGCCCUAGGGUUGUAAAGCUCUUUCACCGGUGAAGAUAAUGACGGUAACCGGAGAAGAAGCCCCGGCUAACUUCGUGCCAGCAGCCGCGGUAAUACGAAGGGGGCUAGCGUUGUUCGGAUUUACUGGGCGUAAAGCGCACGUAGGCGGACUAUUAAGUCAGGGGUGAAAUCCCGGGGCUCAACCCCGGAACUGCCUUUGAUACUGGUAGUCUUGAGUUCGAGAGAGGUGAGUGGAAUUCCGAGUGUAGAGGUGAAAUUCGUAGAUAUUCGGAGGAACACCAGUGGCGAAGGCGGCUCACUGGCUCGAUACUGACGCUGAGGUGCGAAAGCGUGGGGAGCAAACAGGAUUAGAUACCCGUGUAGUCCCAUGA
rnacentral:rRNA from 1 species